rnacentral:misc_RNA from 1 species
UGAUUUUUCAGUCUCAAUCCUAAUCCGAAGCUUGGCAAUCUUGCUUGUGUAGGCAUCUAUUUAAUUAUGACCCAAAUUUUAUGAAGAAGAAAGAAAAGAAAAACAUCAAAAGGGCAGAAAAUGCAGCUACUUUGAGACUUGAUAUUGGAUUGGAUGGGCUAUGUGAAUUCAUGUUUAAAGUUAUAGCUCUCUUUAAAUUGUAAUUAAUUACAAACUGCUUCUAAAAUUCAAGGAGGAAAAAACUCCAUGUAAUUAACCAAUCUCAUUUCUUGAUUGGUGAAGCUAGAAAAUUUAUGAGUUCAAAUCAAACCUAACACACCCAUCUCUCAGAAAAAUAAAAAAAGAAGAAGGGAAGCAACCAAGAAGAUAUAUUUCCAAUCCCUUGAAGGAUUCCAUCUCUGUUCAUGUAUAUAUAUAUAAACUCUUGGGAUGAGUAAGCCUUUUCCUUUCAAGAAUCUCGAUGUUUAUGCCAGCAAACAAGCAUGGCAACGCAGCGCCUCAUGAUAUAGAAUCUUGCCUUCUGUUCUUUAGCUAAGCUACUACAUUUGCGAGUAAUGGAAGAGUUCUUCUGAGAGUAACUCCUUGGAAGAGGGCACUUGUUGCUUGGAGAAGAGCAUUUAAGGGAAGAGCUUCUCAAGAGAGGAGACUUUGAAGAUGAACUCUUGGUAGAAAAACUCCUAACAAAAGAAGAAGAUGAACCUUCUUUCUUUGAUGGCUUCCACUUCUCAUCCAUGUAAAAAAGACCAAGAAAGAAAUUAAGGCCAAUGAUAUGAUACUUCUUUGUGUGUAUGAUCUGAGAGAGAGAGAGAGAGAG